UGGUGUUGAUUGAUCACUUGAU
rnacentral:siRNA from 1 species